UACGGAGGGGGCUAGCGUUGUUCGGAAUUACUGGGCGUAAAGCGCACGUAGGCGGCUUUGUAAGUUAGAGGUGAAAGCCCGGGGCUCAACUCCGGAAUUGGCCUUUAAGACUGCAUCGCUAGAAUUGUGGAGAGGUAAGUGGAAUUCCGAGUGUAGAGGUGAAAUUCGUAGAUAUUCGGAAGAACACCAGUGGCGAAGGCGACUUACUGGACACAUAUUGACGCUGAGGUGCGAAAGCGUGGGGAGCAACAGG
rnacentral:rRNA from 1 species